UACGGGGGGGCAAGCGUUGUUCGGAAUUACUGGGCGUAAAGGGCUCGUAGGCGGCCAACUAAGUCGGAUGUGAAAUCCCCAGGCUUAACCUGGGAACUGCAUCCGAUACUGGAUGGCUUGAAUUCGGGAGAGGGAUGCAGAAUUCCAGGUGUAGCGGUGAAAUGCGCAGAUAUCAGGAGGAACACCGGUGGCGAAGGCGGGUCUCUGGGCCGAUACUGACGCUGAGGAGCGAAAGCGUGGGGAGCGAACAGG
rnacentral:rRNA from 1 species